GGGAGGGGAGGCGAAGGGACUCAGGUAUAUUAGUCAUCCCCAAAACUGAAGUCAUUUCUCCCCGCCUCAUAUGCAGUAGGAACCAUAGUAAGAUGCACAGAAUCAGAAGUCAGACCCAGAUUCAAAAUCUGCAGCUCGCUUACAUGUGUGACCUUGGACAAGCCUGCAAACCUCUCUCAGCCUCCGUUUCCUCAUCUGUAAAGCUAGGCCACCACACUGUUCUCACAGGCUCUUAGGAGGCCUAAAUUGAAUAAGACAAUGCACGAGAAGUGCCUGGUACCCAGCGGGCACUCAAGGAAUGGCAGCUCCUGAGGCCCCCGCCACCCCCUGCUCCAACCUGGUGGUCUCCUGCAGGUCAGGGGGGCAGCUGUCCUGGCCAUGGGCAUCUGGACCCUGGUGGAGAGGAGCAGCUACCUCAGCAUCCUGGCCUCCAGCACCUUCACCGCCUCCGCCUGCAUCCUCAUCUGAGCGGGUACUCUCGUCAUGGUGACCGGCUUCCUGGGCAACAGCACCAUCUCCUAGGAGCAGAAGGGCUGCCUCUCCAUGCUCUGCAGGGAGGGGGACCCUGCACUACCACCCUAUUUCCCAGUGAGGUCCCCAGCAAGGAAGAAGGGCUCCAGUCCUGGAGUGGGAAGCGGCUGAGGCCAUGGGGCAGCCAGAGAGGGGGUGGCUGCUCGCCAGCCUGGUGUUCUCCAGGAUCUUAGGACACAGGCCAGGAGGCCAGCCUCGGCAGCUGCAGUAGUAGCUCCCUCUCAUCUGUCUCUCCUCCUCCCUCUCCUCCUCCUCUGCCCCUUCCUUCUUCUCCCUCCUCUCCUUCCCCUUCUCCCUUCCCUUCUCCUUCCUCUCCUCCUUCUCCCUUUUCCUCUGCCUUCUCUUCCUCCUCCUCCUCCUCCUCCUCUUUUUUCCCCUCGUCCUCCUCUCCCUCUCUUUCAUCCUUUCUCUUCCUGUUUCUCUUCCUGCUCCUUCCAGAUUUUAUCAUGGCAAUUUUCAAAGAUAUGCAAAAAUUUUAAAAAGUGCUUUAAUGAACCUCCAUCUUCCCAUCACCCAGGGCUCAACAGUUACCACUUCAUAGUCCAUCUCCAUUCGCUGGCCUGCACCCUCCCCUCCAUCCCUCCCUCUCCCCACCCCAGGAUGGUUUUGAAGCAAUCCCAGAUAUCAAAUCAUCUGUCAAUAUGUCAGCAUAUUUCUGAAAGAGCA
rnacentral:lncRNA from 1 species